AACGGGUGAGUAACACGUGGGUAACCUGCCCUGUACUCUGGGAUAAGCCUGGGAAACUAGGUCUAAUACCGGAUAUGACCUGCCUCCGCAUGGUGGUGGGUGGAAAGUUCCGGCGGUACAGGAUGGACCCGCGGCCUAUCAGCUUGUUGGUGGGGUAAUGGCCUACCAAGGCGACGACGGGUAGCCGGCCUGAGAGGGUGACCGGCCACACUGGGACUGAGACACGGCCCAGACUCCUACGGGAGGCAGCAGUGGGGAAUAUUGCACAAUGGGCGAAAGCCUGAUGCAGCGACGCCGCGUGAGGGAUGACGGCCUUCGGGUUGUAAACCUCUUUCAGCGGGGACGAAGGGCAACUGACGGUACCCGCAGAAGAAGCACCGGCUAACUACGUGCCAGCAGCCGCGGUAAUACGUAGGGUGCGAGCGUUGUCCGGAAUUAUUGGGCGUAAAGAGCUCGUAGGCGGUUUGUUGCGUCGGCUGUGAAAACUUCACGCUUAACGUGGAGCCUGCAGUCGAUACGGGCAGACUUGAGUUCGGCAGGGGAGACUGGAAUUCCUGGUGUAGCGGUGAAAUGCGCAGAUAUCAGGAGGAACACCGGUGGCGAAGGCGGGUCUCUGGGCCGAUACUGACGCUGAGGAGCGA
rnacentral:rRNA from 1 species